rnacentral:rRNA from 1 species
UCCGACCUCAGAUCGGACGAGAUUACCCGCUGAAUUUAAGCAUAUCCAUAAGCGGAGGAAAAAAAACU